AACGAACGCUGGCGGCAGGCCUAACACAUGCAAGUCGAGCGAGGACUUCGGUCCUAGCGGCGGACGGGUGAGUAACGCGUGGGAACGUGCCCUUUGCUUCGGAAUAGCCCUGGGAAACUGGGAGUAAUACCGGAUGAGCCCUUUGGGGGAAAGAUUUAUCGGCGAAGGAUCGGCCCGCGUUGGAUUAGGUAGUUGGUGGGGUAAUGGCCUACCAAGCCGACGAUCCAUAGCUGGUUUGAGAGGAUGAUCAGCCACACUGGGACUGAGACACGGCCCAGACUCCUACGGGAGGCAGCAGUGGGGAAUCUUAGACAAUGGGGGAAACCCUGAUCUAGCCAUGCCGAGUGAGCGAUGAAGGCCUUAGGGUUGUAAAGCUCUUUCAGCUGGGAAGAUAAUGACGGUACCAGCAGAAGAAGCCCCGGCUAACUCCGUG
rnacentral:rRNA from 1 species